rnacentral:rRNA from 1 species
AAAACAUGUCUUUUUGAUUAUAAUUUAAAGUYUAAUCUGCUCCAUGAAUAAUUUUAAAUAGCUGCAGUAUUUUAACUGUACUAAGGUAGCAUAAUCAAUAGUUUUUUAAUUUGAAGCUGGAAUGAAAGAUUUAAUGAAAUAAUUUCUGUCUCAAUUUAAUUAAAUUUAUAAUUUUUUUUUUAGUAAAAAUACUAAAAUGAAUUUAAAAGACGAGAAGACCCUAAAGAAUUUUAUAAUUUGGAUUAAAAAUAAAAUUAUUUAAGUUUAAUUAAAAAUUAUUAGAUUGGGGAAAUUAUUAAAUUUAAAAAAUUUUAAUAUUAAUAAAUAAACAAAAGUUAAUGAAUAUUAGAUUUUUAAUUUUAUAAAUAUAAGUAUAAAUUACCUUAGGGAUAACAGCGUAAUUUUUUUAGAAAGUUCUAAUUAAUAGAAAAGUUUGCGACCUCGAUGUUGAAUUAAAAUAAAAUUUUAAUGAAAAAGUUAAAAAUUUUUAGUCUGUUCGACUAUUAAUAUUUUACGUGAUCUGA